UACGUAGGGUGCAAGCGUUGUCCGGAAUUAUUGGGCGUAAAGAGCUCGUAGGCGGCUUGUCGCGUCGGCUGUGAAAACCCGCGGCUCAACUGCGGGUCUGCAGUCGAUACGGGCAGGCUAGAGUUCGGUAGGGGAGACUGGAAUUCCUGGUGUAGCGGUGAAAUGCGCAGAUAUCAGGAGGAACACCGAUGGCGAAGGCAGGUCUCUGGGCCGAUACUGACGCUGAGGAGCGAAAGCGUGGGGAGCGAACAGG
rnacentral:rRNA from 1 species